CAACACUAGAAAUAAUAGACUUCCACUCCAACCAAUCUGACUUCAUACAAUUUCUGUAAUCAUAGACUUCUUCUAUCGAAACACACACAACUCUCAAUAAACAACAAUCAUAAUUUUCCAUCCAUGAACAAUCUCCUAUAGAAUUUGAUAAAAAACUUCCAAUAUCUUCUCAUAAUAAUUCAAUCAUAUAAUAUUUCAAUUACAUACUCAAUAUCUUAUAAAUCAAUCUUUGAUUUAUUCUAUAGAUUCACUUCAAAGUGAUCAAAAUCUAAAACAAUAAAAUAAAUGAAAAACAAGAGAUAGCACCAAGCUUAUUUUGGUUCAUGACUAUCACAAUUUGGCCUGUCUAAUAUCUUCUACAAUUGCUAUAUACUUAUCCUUGAAAUUUCAGAUUCUAACCAUCAUUUCCUAUUCAACUAUUUUUCACAAUUAAUUCAAUCAUCCGACCUACUAAAUUGACUACUCUAAGAAUGAUUAAUUUAUUUUAUCAAUAUCUUACAAAAAUGAAUUUCUACCUAUUUUAUAUAACCCCACUCCUAACUAUGUAAUGUCCUUGCAAACGCAAAAUUGAUACAUGUAUUAAAAAAACUACUUAAUAAAAUUCUAUAAUAUUACU
rnacentral:lncRNA from 1 species